UACGUAGGGUGCAAGCGUUGUCCGGAAUUAUUGGGCGUAAAGAGCUCGUAGGCGGUUUGUCGCGUCUGCUGUGAAAACGCGAGGCUCAACCUCGCGCCUGCAGUGGGUACGGGCAGACUAGAGUGUGGUAGGGGAGAUUGGAAUUCCUGGUGUAGCGGUGGAAUGCGCAGAUAUCAGGAGGAACACCGAUGGCGAAGGCAGAUCUCUGGGCCGAUACUGACGCUGAGGAGCGAAAGCGUGGGGAGCGAACAGG
rnacentral:rRNA from 1 species